GAUGAAGAACGUAGCGAAAUGCGAUAAGUAAUGUGAAUUGCAGAACUCAGUGAAUCAUCGAAUCUUUGAACGCACAUUGCGCCCGCCAGUAUUCUGGCGGGCAUGCCUGUUCGAGCGUCAUUUCAACCAUCAAGCCCCCGGCUUGUGUUGGGGACCUGCGGCUGCCGCAGGCCCUGAAAACCAGUGGCGGGCUCGCUAGUCACUCCGAGCGUAGUAAUACAUCUCGCUCAGGGCGUGCUGCGGGUUCCGGCCGUUAAAAAGCCUUAUUUACCCAAGGUUGACCUCGGAUCAGGUAGGAAGACCCGCUGAACUUAAGCAUAUCAAUAAGCGGAGGA
rnacentral:misc_RNA from 1 species